rnacentral:rRNA from 1 species
UACAGAGGUCUCAAGCGUUGUUCGGAUUCAUUGGGCGUAAAGGGUGCGUAGGUGGCGCCAUAAGUCAGGUGUGAAAUCUCGGAGCUUAACUCCGAAACUGCAUUCGAUACUGCCGUGCUUGAGGACUGGAGAGGAGACUGGAAUUUACGGUGUAGCGGUGAAAUGCGUAGAUAUCGUAAGGAAGACCAGUGGCGAAGGCGGGUCUCUGGACAGUUCCUGACGCUGAGGCACGAAGGUCAGGGGAGCAAACGGG